rnacentral:rRNA from 1 species
UACAGAGGUCCCAAGCGUUGUUCGGAUUCACUGGGCGUAAAGGGUGCGUAGGCGGUCGGGUAAGUCUGACGUGAAAUCUUCAAGCUCAACUUGGAAACUGCGUCCGAUACUAUUCGGCUAGAGGAAUGGAGGGGAGACUGGAAUACUUGGUGUAGCAGUGAAAUGCGUAGAUAUCAAGUGGAACACCAGUGGCGAAGGCGAGUCUCUGGACAGUUCCUGACACUGAGGCACGAAGGCCAGGGGAGCAAACGGG